GAUGAACGCUGGCGGCGUGCCUAAUACAUGCAAGUCGAACGAACAGACCAUGCGCUUGCUCCUCUCACGUUAGCGGCGCACGUGUGUGUAACACGUGGAUACCCUCCCUAUAAUACUGGGAUAACUUCGGGAAACCGGCUCUAAUACCGGAUAAUCUAUUGCACCACAUGGUGCAAUAGUGAAUGACGGUUUUUCUGUCACUUAUAGAUGGUUCCCGGCCUCAUUAGCUAGUUGGUAAGGUAACGGCUUACCACGGCGACGAUGCGUAGCCGACCUGAGAGGGGGAUCGGCCACACUGGAGCGGGGACACGGACCAGACUACUACGGGAGGCAGCAGUAGGGAACCGUCCGCAAUAGGCGAAAGCCUGACGGAGCAACGCCGCGUGAGUGAUGAAGGUCUUCGGAUCGUAAAACUCUGUUAUUAGGGAAGAACAAAUGUGUAAGUAACUAUGCACGUCGUGACGGUACCUAAUCAGAAAGCCACGGCUAACUACGUG
rnacentral:rRNA from 1 species